GGGGAAAAAUAAGAAAUGCGGCAUGAUGACUAAAGGGGUGCUUGUCUGUGCGUAAGAGAAAAAGACGUUGUUAUGGAGUGACCUCGGCAUGGGAAAGAGGAACAUGUAUAUUUACAGAAAGAGACGAGGAUGAAAUCGAAAGAUGAGUACAGAGAGUCUAGUUCCAAAGUGAGAAGCAGAGAAGGGGUUGAAUGGGGGCGUGAGUGUUUUGGAGAGAGUGUAACCUGAGAAGUAUGUUUACCAUGCACAGGGACAUGUGCUCUAGGAAGAAGGUUUCCAAGAAGACAUCUUUCCCCAGUGACUUUGUAUUUAGUGUAAUCUUACCGUGUAUGUCUGGCCAAAGGCAAUGUUGAUGAUGCAUGUAGCUCCCUGUUUCUAUAUUUGUGUUAGUGUGUGUAUUUGCGUGACGUGUUAUACGUUCUGUUGCAGUUUAGAUUCAGAUCCAUCUGCUACACUCCUGUUCCUUUUUAGCUUGUGGGUGUGUGGGUGCGAGUGAUUUUGUUUAUGAGUUGAAGGAAAAGUAAUCAGUGUUGAGUGGUGAUUUGGCCACAUGCAAAGUGGAUAUUUUCCCAGCCUGUCCACAAGUGUUUUAUUCCUGUUAUACCACAGGAAUAUGCCAACAGAUGGGGGCUCUUCUUAUUGCCCUUGUUCCUGUACAUCAGUAACAGCGUCUCCAGACCCCUCACCACAGCCUCAACAGGAACGGUGACAGGCCUGCAUAUCCUAAGUUUAACAUCUUUGGUGCAGCUAUAACAACCUUGACCUGAAAUAACUAAAGACCGUGGAGUUUACAAAACACUGAGUGGGCGCGGCACACCUCCUUCACAUAUGACUGGAACCUAAUAUUGAUUUCACUGCGAAAAAGCCGAGAACGCCAGACGUGCCUUAGGAGCAGAUCUACAAAACCACCAAAUAUGAGCACUCUCAGUUAAGAAGCAGUGGGAAAUAUCAUCGCUGACCCUCACACCUUGGACACCGCAUAUUUGAAGUGUUUCCCUCUAGCAGAUGCUUUAAAAUGAUGUGCACACAAAAAAAUGACCAGACUCAUGAAUGUGUAAUCCGCCCGCACAUGUAAUGUCAAUCUGCAGUAGUUUGUAUAUGGGUCAAGAGCAAAAAUGAUUUUUGUAAAACAGGUUAAUUAGAUAACGUAAAUUAGUUUAAUUAAGCUGUUUAAAAAUUAUUUUUAUCUUUGACGCAUAUAUUAAUACUCAUCCAGCUAUUACUAUUACUGUCAACAACUAUCCAGCUAUUACUGUUUUUUUUUAUUAUUAAACUAAAAUAAAAUAAGCAUUAUUCUUGUUACAAGUUUUGCUGAUACUUUUUUGUGACUUCAUUUUUUAAAUUAGUGUUAUAAAUAUAUAUUAGAUAAUUAUUCUGAAUGACAAUUUUGCAUUGUACAUUGUAAAUUGCAUUGUUUCUGGCAUAAUAUACACAAUUUGGAAAAAAAAAAUAAUUAUGAGACAAGAGACAAUUAAGAGUUAUAAGAUAUGCAGCAUUUACGGUAGGCAUAUUAAUGAUCCUACAUUAAGUUUUUACUUUAAGGAAUUAUUUUUGUCUUUGACCCAUAUAUGGUAUAAACAAAAUAAAAGUAAAAACAAAAAAAUAAGAAUAAAAUAAAAUCAUUUUUCUUGUAAUAAGUCAAGAGAAUUUCUCUGUAGGCUUUGCUGAAUGGAUGCUGAGUAAACAAAUCAUGGGAGAUGAGGUUAUGUUUAAUUAUUCAGCAAACCAUUCAAAGUAGGACUAUUAAAAACAACUAGAGUACAUGCAGUAUAAUCAAUGAGACACAAAUCAUUAAACUUGAACCGCAGGAUAUUUGGUAUGUUUUGAAUAAU